ensembl:lncRNA
GAGGCCGCCCCCUGCCGCCCGGAGGCCGCGAGCCGCCCGGCCCGGCCCUCGCCGCGGGGAUGCCUGCGCGGAACCUGCUGCUCGGCGAGCUCCAGGCCCUUCCCGGCGCGGAGACCCUCCGGACGCUGGGGGGCCGCUCCAGCCCGCAGACGCCGAGGUUCUCGCACUGCCCCUCGCGCCCGAGGUAGGACAGCUCCCUUCCCAUCCCCGCCGCCCGCAACCUGCCUUCCAAACUGGGGGGUGUGGGUUUCUCCCUCCAGAACAGGGGAGGCGCGGAGGGACAGGAAGCAGCGGCGUCGUUCUCAGGUUUGCGUUUUAGAAAGACCGUUCGGGCUCCUGCGAAGAGGAGGGGCUGUGGGGGGGGGGACUGACAUUGGAGACGGGGACAGAAGUUCUGAGGCUAUCACGAAGGUCUGGGUGAGAUUUGAAGCCUCCAGGAGAGCUGGGGCAGCAGGAUGGGGGACUGGGUUUGGACACUUGGGAGGGGAAGGGAAUGGAGUGAAUGGAUCGGGUGGCCAGGGUGAGAAAGGAGCCUGGCUUGGACAGUGCGGUGGGUGAAGGGGACGACAAACUCAGAUUUUGGUUUUUGGUGGGGGGUUUGUUGUUGUUGUUGUUGUUAAGAUUUUAUAUAUUUAUUCACGAGAGACACAGAGAGAGGCAGAGACACAGGCAGAGGGAGAAGCAGGCCGGAUGUGGGACUCGAUCCCAGGACCCCGGGAUCAAGGCCUGAGUGGAAGGCAGAUGCUCAACCGCUGAGCCACCCAGGUACCCCGACAAACUCAGGUUUGGAUGUGCCUGGGUUUAAGGUCCCUGCAGGAGGACAUGGCCCAGCAGAAAAGUAGGCUGGAGCCACCCACCUUGGAGUCCUGCCAAUGUAGCGGAAGCUGCCUCCUUCAGGACGGAGCAGGAACAAAAAAGUCAGAGCAGGAGCCAGUCCAAACUUUUGGCACAUCCAGCAUCAAUUUUGCUGUGAACUCUAAUCCUCCAAGUAAAAUCCAGAAAACCCCAGCCUCUCUGGCAGCCAGGACAGAGGUAUAUGACCAAGGAUCUACCAAAUUUGAGGCGCCCGUGUUUUGUUUCUUUUUAAAAAUCUGGCACCCAUGUUCAGUUUUUAUUAGGAAGACACAGCAAAGGAAGACAGUUUUAGGUAAAUUUUUAAAUUCUAGUCAGGACUGA